rnacentral:rRNA from 1 species
GACGAACGCUGGCGGCGCGCCUAACACAUGCAAGUCGAACGAGCGAGAGAGAGCUUGCUUUCUCGAGCGAGUGGCGAACGGGUGAGUAACGCGUGAGGAACCUGCCUCAAAGAGGGGGACAACAGUUGGAAACGACUGCUAAUACCGCAUAAGCCCACGACCCGGCAUCGGGUAGAGGGAAAAGGAGCAAUCCGCUUUGAGAUGGCCUCGCGUCCGAUUAGCUAGUUGGUGAGGUAACGGCCCACCAAGGCGACGAUCGGUAGCCGGACUGAGAGGUUGAACGGCCACAUUGGGACUGAGACACGGCCCAGAAUCCUACGGGAGGCAGGAGUGGGGGAUAUUGCAACAUGGGGGAAACCCUGAUGCAGCGACGCCGCGUGGAGGAAGAAGGUCUUCGGAUUGUAAACUCCUGUUGUUGAGGAAGAUAAUGACGGUACUCAACAAGGAAGUGACGGCUAACUACGUG